GAUGAAGAACGUAGCGAAAUGCGAUAAGUAAUGUGAAUUGCAGAAUUCAGUGAAUCAUCGAAUCUUUGAACGCACAUUGCGCCCCUUGGUAUUCCGAGGGGCAUGCCUGUUCGAGCGUCAUUAUAACCCCUCAAGCUCAGCUUGGUGUUGGGGCCUGCUGCACUGGCAGCCCUUAAAAUCAGUGGCGGCGCCAUCUGGCUCUAAGCGCAGUAAUUCUUCUCGCUAUGGAGUCCUGGUGGAUGCUUGCCAUCAACCCCCAAUUUUUCUAUGGUUGACCUCGGAUCAGGUAGGGAUACCCGCUGAACUUAAGCAUAUCAAUAAGCGGAGGA
rnacentral:misc_RNA from 1 species